AUACGGAGGGUGCAAGCGUUAAUCGGAAUUACUGGGCGUAAAGCGCGCGUCGGCGGUUUGAUAAGUCGGAUGUGAAAUCCCCGGGCUCAACCUGGGAAUUGCAUUCGAUACUGUCAGGCUAGAGUGUGGUAGAGGGAAGUGGAAUUUCCGGUGUAGCGGUGAAAUGCGUAGAUAUCGGAAGGAACACCAGUGGCGAAGGCGGCUUCCUGGACCAACACUGACGCUGAGGUGCGAAAGCGUGGGGAGCAAACAGGAUUAGAAACCCCAGUAGUCC
rnacentral:rRNA from 1 species